rnacentral:rRNA from 1 species
CGUUAAGUUUCCCGCCCGGGGAGUACGGUCGCAAGAGUGAAAAUCAAAAGAAUUGACGGGGGGCCGCACACACGGUGGAGUAUGUGGUUUAAUUUGAUGCACAGCGAAGAACCUUUCCUGUCCUUGACACGUCCAGAACUUUCCAGAGAUGGAUUGGGGCCUUUUGGAACUCUAACACACAGGUUGCACGGCGGUGUUCACAUCUUGUCGUGAGAAAUUGGGUUAAAUCUCGCAACGAGCGCACCCCCUUUCUUUAGUUUCCACCACGUAAUGGCGGGAACUUUAAGGAGGCCGCCGGUGACAAACCGGAGGAAAGUGGGGAAGGAGUCAAGUUAUCAUGGCCCUUUCGGCCAAGGCUACCCCCCUAGUUCAAUGGUAGGGACAGAGGGGAACAAACCGGGGGCGAUCAACCAAUCCCAGAAAACCUAUUUCAGUUCGGAUUGGAGUUUGCAACUUGGCUCCCAGAAAUUGGAAUUGCUAGUAAUUGCAGAUCAGCAUUGCUGCGGUGAAUACGUUCCCGGGCCUUGUACACACCGCCCGUCACACCAUGGGAGUUUGUUGCACCAAGAAGCAGGUAGCUUAACCUUC